AAGCAUAAUCUCUAGCCUAUUUCACAUAAUCACUUCAUAAGGCACAUUUAACAAGAAUAGCAUAUUUAUCAUCUUACAUUACAUAGCAAGCCUUAAUAGCCUCACUCACAAAAAUCUAGUAACUUUACAUUCAUACCAUUUAAAUAAACACCGCUACCAAGAAGGUGGACCAUACCACUCAAGAGCAUUUGAAAUUGAAACCAAACAACAUAAUCAACUUAUCCUUUA
rnacentral:misc_RNA from 1 species